rnacentral:rRNA from 1 species
UACGGGGGGGGCAAGCGUUGUUCGGAAUUACUGGGCGUAAAGGGCUCGUAGGCGGCCAACUAAGUCAGACGUGAAAUCCCUCGGCUUAACCGGGGAACUGCGUCUGAUACUGGAUGGCUAGAGAUUGGGAGAGGGAUGCGGAAUUCAUGGUGUAGCAGUGAAAUGCGUAGAGAUCAUGAGGAAGACCAGUGGCGAAGGCGGGUCUCUGGACAGUUCCUGACACUGAGACACGAAGGCCAGGGGAGCAAACGGG